rnacentral:rRNA from 1 species
AAGCGUGGGCAUGUGGUUUAAUUCGAAGCAACGCGAAGAACCUUACCAGGUCUUGACAUCCCGAUGCUAUUUCUAGAGAUAGAAAGUUACUUCGGUACAUCGGUGACAGGUGGUGCAUGGUUGUCGUCAGCUCGUGUCGUGAGAUGUUGGGUUAAGUCCCGCAACGAGCGCAACCCCUAUUGUUAGUUGCCAUCAUUCAGUUGGGCACUCUAGCGAGACUGCCGGUAAUAAACCGGAGGAAGUGGGAUGACGUCAAAUCAUCAUGCCCCUUAUGACCUGGGCUACACACGUGCUACAAUGGUUGGUACAACGAGUUGCGAGUCGGUGACGGCGAGCUAAUCUCUUAAAGCCAAUCUCAGUUCGGAUUGUAGGCUGCAACUCGCCUACAUGAAGUCGGAAUCGCUAGUAAUCGCGGAUCAGCACGCCGCGGUGAAUACGUUCCCGGGCCUU